ACUAUGAACUAGGUUGGAAUGCCUAUUUGAGUGAAAAAUCUGCGCCCGAUUCGGAGGACUUUCUACCUUUAGAUUCGUUGGUGUUGGUGCUCUAUUUUUCGUUCGUUUUGACGGAAGGAAGGGGGACACCGAGGAGGGCUCCAUCGGUGCGUCAGAGAUGGAAGUCAUUCCAGGAGACGUGAGCUUGGAAUUCGUCCCCUCCCUGGUCCAUCCAUCGAUUUUUCGCCGCCCAUAUGUUGUUGUGAACUCCCUAUCUACUGACGAAUCCCUCAUCUUGUCCAAUGAAAAGUGGGAUUAAUUGUUCCCGAGCGAAAGGGAGGUGUCUGGAAGCGAUGUAUGGUGCGAGAGGUCUGAUGGCUUGCGCAGGAUGCUCAAGAUCUUGCUUCAUCCACUGUUUUAGACGUCCACAAACGAGCAAUAGAGCUCCUACAACUGUUGAACUUCAUCAUGGCUAUUUUUUGAGUGCCUCAAGCUAGCAUGCCAUUACUGUUGUUUUGAAGGAGAAAUAGAAUUAUAGAAUGUAUUUCUUGUGUUGUGAGGUCUUUUCUGCUAGUCAUUGUGUUCCUUUAUUGUAAAGAAGUGUGUAAAUUUUAAUGAGAAUUAUGAUUGUAUUUACAGACAAAUGUUCUCCAUUUUUAGUGGGAAAUUUGAAUCAAAAUUUUUAGCUUGAAA